rnacentral:rRNA from 1 species
UACGAAGGGUGCAAGCGUUACUCGGAAUUACUGGGCGUAAAGCGUGCGUAGGUGGUUUGUUAAGUCUGAUGUGAAAGCCCUGGGCUCAACCCGGGAAGUGCAUUCGAUACUGCCAAGCUAGAGUCCCGGAGAGGAUGGUGGAACUCUCGGUGUAGAGGUGAAAUUCGUAGAUAUCGAGAAGAACACCGGUGGCGAAGGCGGCCAUCUGGACGGUGACUGACACUGAGACGCGAAAGCGUGGGGAGCAAACAGG